GCGGGGUUUGUUUUGUUUUGUUUUUUUUUACAAUAGAACAGAACUGAAAGCCAUAAGAAAAACACUAACAGAGAUUCUUGGUCCUAGUUUGGGUUCACAGAACAGUGAUGUCAUUUUAAGAGCUUCCUAUGUCACAGCCAGAAUAGAAAUGACAACUCCAGCAUCCGCAUGUGUCUUCCCCGCCUCGCCCUCCAUGUGAGUUCUGUUGUGGACCAGUCACUUCUUACUGGCCACAGUUUCACAGGAGGUACUCAGGGGAUGUUCUGGAAGGAGGAAAGUGGGGAAGGGAUGGAUGGCUCUUAGACCCUCCGGUGCCUUAGAACCCCUCCUUGUUCAGAUAAAGAGAAGUUUGCAAGAGCCAGGGAGGUGAAGUCCAAAGUCACUCUCUUUGCUUUUGUAAGUAAGCGGUGACCCUGGCUGGGGUCAGAAUCAGGUCUCCUGAUUCCUAACGCAAGACUACUCCCACUGAGUUAUCCUAAAACUUGACAGUCCAGACGCCAUUUGAUGACUUUAGUUGUCUAAUUAACUCCCACCUGGAAUAACUAAACUUUUGUGUUUCUCUUAUUUGUUUCUUUGAUACCUAGUGUUUGCCCAGCUAAAGUAAACUUUUCAAAGAUAUGGAGCGGGGUGAGAGGACUUGUUUUUUAUACCCUGAUAAGUGUAAGAGGGUGCCUAGGUCUCUACAAAGUCCAUUUGACUAACAAAUUGAGGGUUCAUGAAUCUACAUUAGACUCCCAAACUGCCUCCCUUGUGUUGGGCCCAAAGGAAAAAAGAAACAAAAAUGUAUUGAGCACUACCGAGUGCCGGCCCUGUGACAGUUUUCAUAAAGCCCUCACAGAAACCCGGAGGUGGCAUUGUCUGCCUUGUUUCAGGUGAGGCAGCCGUGGCUUGGGGCUUAAGGAACCAGUCCAAACCCACCCCAUGGCCGCUGUUGGGUGAGUGGCACAGCUAAGAGUUAGGCAGCAUGAUGCCUGGCAUUCAGCAGGCCUCCAGUGAAGGUUUGUUGAAUGAAUAAAUGAACUCAUAUCCAUCUGUCAAUAACACCCCUACUCUCACCCCUUCCCCAUUGUCAUUAUUUGGAUAGUGGACCCUAGACAGUGUCCUCAGUCUCAACCACUAGGGUGACAACAUAGUCAAAUAGGAGACAAAAACAUCUGAAAGAGGAAAAAACAAGGUUAUUCUUGCUUUAUUAAUCAGUUUUAUUAAUCAUUGAAACACAUGGAGGUGAAGUGAAGGGUUGGAAAGGAUGUUGCACAAUUAGAGAGUUAAUUUGUGUUCGAACAAAACAUUUUAUAUAUGUAUGUAUGUAUUUAUUAGAGACAGAGUCUCACUACGUUGCCAAGGCUGGUCUCAAAUUCUUGGGCUGAAGCAAUCCUCCCAUGAUGGCCUCCCAAAUGUUGGGAUUACAGGUGUGAGCCAGCAUGCCCAGCCAGGAACAUCACAUUUUAAAACAACAAAGAGAGGGGGAAAUUGAUGUCUGCAUGUCACCAGGUUGUCAUUGUUUCUGUCACUAUGAGUAAGGACCAAAACCUUUUUUUCUUUUUUUUGAAACAGAGUCUCACACUGUCACCAGGCUGGCGUGUAGUGGCGCAAUCUCGGCUCACUGCAACUUCCACCUCCCGGAUUCAAGCAAUUCUUCUGCCUCAGCCUCCUGAGUAGCUGGGACUACAGGUGCGCGCCACCAUGCCCAGCUAAUUUUUGUAUCUUUAAUAGAGACGGGGUUUCACUGUGUUGGCCAGGAUGGUCUCCAUCUCUUGACCUUGUGAUCUGCCCACCUCGGCCUCCCAAAGUGCUGGGAUUAUAGGCAUGAGCCACUGCACCCGGCCCUAAACCAUUUUUUUUUUUAAGUUGGCAGGGCAGCAAGCCCAGGGUGUAGACUGAUGAGACAAGGUCCCUCUGAAAUAGCUCUCAUGGCUCUCCUUGUCUUUCCCACAAACAGAACAGAAGCUAAAGCAGAAAGAAGUUUAAUGGAGACCUGGAAGCCUCUCCGUAAAGACUCUGGGGCAGGAAUGGGAUCUGUUUGCAGGGCUCAGGGAGGACCCACGGCUCCUGUGGAGGCUUACGCGGCACCUGAGAAGUGAUCAGUCAGGAAGAGCUACCUGGAGUACCUGAGCCCAACCAGAUAUUCUUUUCCCCGCCGUCUUCCCCGGGAUCCAGCAAUUUAUAUUCCCUACCUCAGGAAAUCUUGGAAAAGUUAUUCCAGCAGAAUGAAGCAAUGUACUAUUCCAGCAGAACAUAGUCAGGACCUGGUGACGUGGGGGUUUGGCAAUGAUCAAUGACCCUGGUGUCAUACUCUAAAUUUGUUUCAAAAGUGGCAGCAGGGGAGAAGGAGGCAGUGAAAUCAAUACUUGAAGUUUGUCUUGAUUGGAUGGGGUGUGUGUUUUCUUUUCCACCCUAGUUGUUGUUGAAGCUGUUUACCAAAAGGCUGUGCAAAUAGGAUUAGUCAGCUCCAGGGCCAUUAAUAACCCGCUGGACAGAGCUGGCUCCAUUCCAAUUGAUUUUUGAAUUUUUGAAGCUGUCCAUUUUUUUGGAGCAGAGAUGAAAGCCCCAGAGGGGCUGGUAUGAAAGCAUGAGAUUUUUGCCUGUACUGGGGCUGAUCCCACAGAUGCAGGAGAUGAAACGUUCUUCCAGUGCCAUUUGCUUUCCAUCUGAAUGAGGCAGGUCCUGCGGCAGCUCUGAAGAGGCAGGGGCCAUCACAAACGAAUAUUGCAGCAGGUCAAGGGGACACUGCUAUUGUGUGCACACUGAUGGAGACCCAGAGUAAAACGUGGCCUGAGGUUUGCCAGAAUGUGCUUAAGAAGCAAACCUCACAUACCUGAAACUCUCUUCGUGCCCUCCUGUCCUUCCAAAAACUAUCAGUUCGAAUAUCCUGAGAAAUGUCACAUAGGUAAGCUGUAGGACCAUCCUUGAGAGGUUGCUGUUGGUAAAAACCAAUGGGGCCAGAAAACAUGAAUUUAUAUCCCAGCACUCUGGGCUAUAACUUUGAGCAAAUUAAUCUCUCUGAUAUUCUAUUAUAGCAAUUGUGAAUUGACAAUGUCAUCAUAGCCCAUUUCUUAUUUCUGAAAAAGUGCUUUUUCUGGAUCUCAUUCACUUAAGAACUCAAAUUCUAAACAUGGAGACCAUCAGAGCCAAGGUCCUUGUUAAAAGAAAUGUAUGUUUUAUAUAUUAAAGUUUAAAAGAAAUAUACAUAUACAUUGAUUUUAGAGUCAUUUGUGCUAUUCUACUUAGCAUUUUAUUUUAAAAAGCAAACUUUGCUUUUUGUGUGUCUCUGAAUCUACCCUAAGACGUGAGGAGAAAGAUGUCUUUUAAAUGAAGGGAAGAAAACU
rnacentral:lncRNA from 1 species